rnacentral:rRNA from 1 species
CCUACGGGUGGCAGCAGUAGGGAAUUUUUCACAAUGGGCGAAACCCUGAUGGAGCAACGCCGCGUGCAGGAUGAAGGCCUUCGGGUUGUAAACCGCUUUUAUCAGCGAGAAAUAUGAUGGUACCUUAUGAAUAAGCCUCGGCUAACUACGUGCCAGCAGCCGCGGUCAUACGUAGGAGCCGAGCAUUAUCCGGAGUGACUGGGUGUAAAGAGUUCCUUAGGUGGCAUAAUAAGUAGCUAGUGAAAUCUGGUGGCUCAACCAGUCAGACUAUUAGCUAAACUGUUAAGCUCGAGACCGUUAGAGGUAAGUGGAAUUUCUAGUGUAGGAGUGAAAUCCGUAGAUAUUAGAAGGAACACCAGUAGCGUAGGCAGGUUACUGGGAAGGAUCUGACGCUAAGGCACGAAAGCGUAGGGAGCAAACGGGAUUAGAUACCCGGGUAGUC